rnacentral:rRNA from 1 species
GAUGAACGCUGGCGGCGUGCCUAAUACAUGCAAGUAGAACGAUGAAGCGAGGAGCUUGCUCUUCUUGGGUGAGUUGCGAACGGGUGAGUAACGCGUAGAUAACCUGCCUGUUAGCGGGGGAUAACUUCUGGAAACGAUAGCUAAUACCGGAUAAUAUAUUGUAUCGCAUGAUACACUAGUGAAAGGCGCAAAUGCUGUACUACAUGGUGGACCUGCGUUGUAUUAGGUAGUUUGUGGGGUAACGGCCCACCAAAGGGAAGAUACAUAGCCGACCUGAGAGGGUGGUCGGCCACACUGGGACUGAGACACGGCCCAGGCUCCUACGGGAGGGAGCAGGAAGGAAUUUUCGGCAAUGGACGGAAGGCUUACCGAGCAACGCCGCGGGAAGGAAGAAGGGUCUCCGGUCGGAAAGCUCUGUUGUAAGGGAAGAACGAGUGUGGGAGUGGAAAGUGCACGCUGUGACGGUAUCUUACCAGAAAGCGACGGCUAACUACGUG